CCUACGGGAGGCAGCAGUGGGGAAUAUUGGACAAUGGGCGCAAGCCUGAUCCAGCAAUGCCGCGUGGGUGAAGAAGGUCUUCGGAUCGUAAAGCCCUUUCGACAGGGACGAUGAUGACGGUACCUGUAGAAGAAGCCCCGGCUAACUUCGUGCCAGCAGCCGCGGUAAUACGAAGGGGGCUAGCGUUGCUCGGAAUUACUGGGCGUAAAGGGCGCGUAGGCGGCUCGGUCAGUCAGGCGUGAAAUUCCUGGGCUUAACCUGGGGACUGCGCUUGAUACUGUCGGGCUUGAGGCCGAGAGAGGGUGGUGGAAUUCCCAGUGUAGAGGUGAAAUUCGUAGAUAUUGGGAAGAACACCGGUGGCGAAGGCGACCACCUGGCUCGGUACUGACGCUGAGGCGCGAUAGCGUGGGGAGCAAACAGGAUUAGAUACCCUGGUAGUCCACGCCGUAAACGAUGUGUGCUGGAUGUUGGGGUCCCUAGGAUCUCAGUGUCGUAGCCAACGCGGUAAGCACACCGCCUGGGGAGUACGGCCGCAAGGUUGAAACUCAAAUGAAUUGACGG
rnacentral:rRNA from 1 species